GACGAACCGUGCGAACGUUGUUCGGAAUCACUGGGCUUAAAGGGCGCGUAGGCGGACCAUCAAGUCAGGAGUGAAAUCCCCCGGCUCAACCGGGGAAGUGCUUUUGAUACUGGUGGUCUCGAGUGGGGUAGGGGCGUGCGGAACUUCCGGUGGAGCGGUGAAAUGCGCAGAUAUCAGGAAGAACACCAGCGGCGAAGGCGGCAUCCUGGACUGGUACUGACGCUCAUGAGCGAAAGCGUGGGGAGCGAUCCGG
rnacentral:rRNA from 1 species